rnacentral:rRNA from 1 species
AUUGAACGCUGGCGGCAGGCCUAACACAUGCAAGUCGAGCGGGGUUUUCGGACCUAGCGGCGGACGGGUGAGUAAUGCGUAGGAAGCUACCCGAUAGAGGGGGAUACCAGUUGGAAACGACUGUUAAUACCGCAUAAUGUCUACGGACCAAAGUGUGGGACCUUCGGGCCACAUGCUAUCGGAUGCGCCUACGUGGGAUUAGCUAGUUGGUGAGGUAAUGGCGCACCAAGGCGACGAUCCCUAGCUGGUUUGAGAGGAUGAUCAGCCAAACUGGGACUGAGACACGGUCCAGACUCCUACGGGAGGCAGCAGUGGGGAAUAUUGGACAAUGGGCGCAAGCCUGAUCCAGCCAUGCCGCGUGUGUGAAGAAGGCCUUCGGGUUGUAAAGCACAUUCAGUAGGGAGGAAGCGUUGUGUGUUAAUAGUACACAGCGUUGACGUUACCUACAGAAGAAGCACCGGCUAACUCUGUGCCAGCCGCCGCUGUAACAC